rnacentral:lncRNA from 10 species
CUUUCUAUGGUGUCCCUCAAGACAUGCUGGGAUUUAGGGAUUUCAACAGCAUUCUUCUCUCUAGCCUCAAAGCAGUGGAACAUUGUAGGCAAACAUGUUUGGAGUUUGUGAAUAACUCUCAGAGCUGAUAUAUGUCUUCAUUUUCACAAUGGAACAUAAAGUGAUGAAUCCUAACUAGAGAACAAAGCCAAAAGAUAGACACCACUGAAAACGUUUCUCACGAGUCCGUGGUCCUGCAGCAGUGCUGCUGGGAGUCUGGCUUUCAAGACGCUGCUGUAAUCACUACAGGGGAAAGCCUGUAAUGAUUCAAUCACACAGAGUAAAAAUACACUUUCAGUUGGUGUAACAUUGCAUUAGUUCUACUUCUACAGAGUCUCCUUAAUCACUUGUAUUUAAAACAGAAGUUACCAGAGGCCAACGUAUGACAGGCCGCAGAAGGCCACUUGCACAUCCCAGCUUCGCUUACACAAACAGAUGCCCUUCUAGAAGGAUCAUCUUGCCCUGCAGGGAAGAUGAUUGUCACAUCUCCACAGCACAUCACAUUUUCCAUGUGGAAAACAUUCAGGUGUACUUUGAUCUAAUGAAAAUCAGAGUCGACAUUCUGCUUCACAGUGGCAGCUGGGAGAGCCAUGCUGGAAACCAACUGCUGUUCUCCAAGGAACAUGCUCCACUAACCCCUGGGGCCAAGACCAACUGGCAUGGAGUGCCUGUGGCUCUGAAAAGGCUUCUCAUCUAAAACUUCUGGGUCUUCAAACUGCUUGGUGUCAACUGGAAUUCAGGAUCUGAAAAACAUUUCAUGCAUUUCUUAAACAAAAGCCUCAUGAUUCUAGCAGCAGAGACUCUACCUACAGGAACAAUGGGGAUACAGAUGGUCAGAGUCUAAUGCUGCCUGACUUUUGGUUGCAAGGAAUUGGGUCAAAGUACAGCCUGAUUAGUGCGUGAUUCUAACUCUAUUGCUGUCCAGAACUCUUGUUAACCCUGUGCAGACAGUUUCACAUCCAAUCAGUGUUCUGUAUUCAGUUAAGAUAUGUUGAAUAAAAUAUUAGGACUGAAAUCAUGAACAUACAACAGAAUACAACUCAGCAAUAAAAAGGAAUGAAUGGUGAACACACACAACAAACUUCUGAGAUAAAUCUCAGAAGCCAGAGCUUGGGCUGCACCCCUAGAAUGGAGGUCCUCUCCCUCCAGAGGUGAGGGGCUGAAUAAGAGGAACCAGUAAUAUCUCAAGCGCCACAGACUCACUGUUCUUAUCUCAUUUUAGAAGAUUUUCCUGAAUAAAGGAGUCUUGGCUGUAUGCCCUUGGGACAAUCUCCAGAGACUUUGAAUAGUAAACUAUUAGAUGGUCUUUACUAGCUGUGGUUGUUUCACAGGGAAGCAGUUCCAUGGGACUGGUUAUGCUGCCAUUCUGGAAGCAUCUCUUCUUUGCUAGCAUUUACCUGUUUCUUCCCAAAGACCCAUGCAUCUGUAUCUAGAGCAAUGACUAUGUUUUCCUCAGUGUUGCAUGGUAAGACGUGUCUGUGCUGCUGUGUACCACUGAAGCUCAUCCAUAUUGACAUCCCAAUGUGUGAACACCCCACAGUCUACUCAACAGCUCUCCUGAGAGUGGGAAUUUUCCAGCCUCCUGGCUCCUGCUCCAGUCAACAGUGCUUUUUUGUAAUUCUUAUACAUGGGCAUCCUUAUCUUGGUCCUAAUGUGCAAGUGUAUUCCUUUCACAUUCCACAUUCCCCCAUUUAGAAUGAUAAUGUUCACUUUAGUUUUUUCUUCUAAUAGAUACUUAUUAGAUUGAAAUUUUACAUUCUAUUUCCACUUUUAAGAGCUUCUUAUUGUGAAUAAAUAUUGAAAUGAUCAUUUUAAA